CCUGGCCAUGCUAGUACGGCGAGUGAGCGGCAACAGCUCAAAUUUGAAAGCUAGCCUUCGGGUUCGCAUUGUAAUUUGUAGAGGAUGAUUUGGGGAAGCCGCCUGUCUAAGUUCCUUGGAACAGGACGUCAUAGAGGGUGAGAAUCCCGUAUGUGACAGGAAAUGGCACCCUAUGUAAAUCUCCUUCGACGAGUCGAGUUGUUUGGGAAUGCAGCUCUAAAUGGGAGGUAAAUUUCUUCUAAAGCUAAAUAUUGGCGAGAGACCGAUAGCGCACAAGUAGAGUGAUCGAAAGAUGAAAAGCACUUUGGAAAGAGAGUUAAAAAGCACGUGAAAUUGUUGAAAGGGAAGCGCUUGCAAUCAGACUUGUUUAAACUGUUCGGCCGGUCUUCUGACCGGUUUACUCAGUUUGGACAGGCCAGCAUCAGUUUCGGCGGCCGGAUAAAGGCUCUGGGAAUGUGGCCUCCACUUCGGUGGAGGUGUUAUAGCCCAGGGUGUAAUACGGCCAGCCGGGACUGAGGUCCGCGCUUCGGCUAGGAUGCUGGCGUAAUGGUUGUAAGCGACCCGUCUUGAACCACGGACC
rnacentral:rRNA from 1 species